rfam:Abiotrophia defectiva ATCC 49176 genomic scaffold Scfld0, whole genome shotgun sequence.
GAAGAUCUGUGGUGUACGUGACAUAUACACUGUGUUGACCGAACAUUUUUCUUUAGAUAUAGGGAACCAAUUCGGCUGACUUAUGACAGGCCUUUUCACUUGGUAGUCAGCGGUUAGUCGUUAGGUGCCCACCUGCUUAGAUUGCGGGUUCAAAACAUCUAUAUGACCAAACGGCACUAACGGAUUUGGG